CAGAAGCUUUGGAACUGGAAUGGCUCUUCAGAACUGACCCAGUUGAGACAAGGGGGCUAGAUCUUUGGACUGUGAUCUGACCACUCACUGACUACAGGCUGCUAUCAAAGAGGAGAUGUAAACCUAGAUGCUAUGGAAGAUCAGAAAAUAUAAAUUUAUGAACUGCUAUAAACUGUUAUUUUCUUCGUGAAGAUCAGCCUCCAGGUUCAUCACAUGACUCAGCUAAGAGAAAAUAUCCAGUGGCUCAUCGUUACCUGUGGGAGGAGGUCUGAACUCCAUGGCUUUGCAUUCAUGUUCUUGUUUGUCUCACUUCAACCUUCAUUCCCUCCAAGUCCUCGUUGUCCUCCCAGGGUUCCUCUGCUACAGCCGGGGGAGUCUGAUCCCUGCUUCCUAAAUUUCUCUGAAGCUUAUCUACACCUAUGUUUUUGCUCCACUCUUCUUUCUCCUUUAUACACCAAUUAUUCUCCUGUUUUAUCCAAAUUAUUCCCUUCUGCAAGACUCACAUCAAGUACGAUUUCUUU
rnacentral:lncRNA from 1 species